AUGACACGCAAAUUCGUGAAGCGUUCCAUAUUU
rnacentral:snRNA from 1 species